rnacentral:RNase_P_RNA from 1 species
CCGGCAAACCGGACAGCUACUCUGUGCAUAGUUUAUCUUGCCCUAAUCAGGUAAAACAAAUUAUGUGCGGGGAGGAAAGUCCGAACACCCUCGAGCACAUAAUUUUAUGUGCUCGAUAAAAAGAUAGCGGCUAACAGCCGUCCGCCGCGAGGCGAGAGGUGCGAACAGAGACGAUUUGACCCGAAAGGGUCAAAUCGCCCUCCGAAGCUUCACGCGGAGGAGGACGAUCUGGACUAUAAGGUGUGUCCUCCUUCACCCCAAGAUCUGGGGUUACGGAGGACAGCUUCACCAAAGGUUCAGCUGAAACGGCUAAAUCCUUAUCGGGUGCAAGAAUGAACCCCGCAUCACUUUUGCCGCUGAAAAAUCUUCGCGAAGAGCGAGCGGGAAUAGCCGCAUCCCGAAUAUGGGCGAAGCGCUUCGCCCAAAAAAGGGUAUAUCUAUUCGGCAUACGCACUUCGCAGGAAAGUCAAUGGCAAAAGUGGUGCGGGGGUAAAAAUAAUUCGCUUGAGCCUGAGAGUAAUCGAAGGCCUAGAGAGAUGGCUGUCGCCUUGGCCUUUUGGCCGGGUACAGAAUUCGGCUUAUAGGUUUGCCGGAAAC